UGCUAAUACCAUGACUAUAUUCUCGUAAAUAAACAAAAAUUCUCAUAGCCUGGCCCUGACACUCUGUUGUACAACUCACAGAAGAGAUGAUUGAAAUAAGUCACUUUUUCAAAACAUUUUCUGUCAUUUGUAAUUUGUUUAGUAGAAAUGCAAAAAGUAAAAAAUUAAAUCGUAAAUUAGAUCAAGUAUGUUAAAAAAAAAAUUAAAAACCAAACAAUGAUGAAUACAACCUUAUGUUUGACAUGUUCAUGCCAUCUAGACAGACACUUUCUGUGCAACAGACUGAUAUGCUGACAAUUCAACAUCAUUUUUCAGGAAAAUGACCACCAAUUCAGCUUGUUUCUUCCCAACUCUGGUGUAUUUGCUCUUCAUGCUGAUUCUGUAUGUUAAUCUGACAUUAGUUGAAUGCUUUACCCCUCCCGAUGUCGGAUUUAGAAACAAAAAACCAUUUUGUCUGGCAGGAGAGGGAAUCUGCUGUUCAAUAAAACUGUUGCCAAGACAAAUCAAUCCCAAACCCCCUCCGGUACACACUAACACCCCUACAGGGAGCAGAACCAUGGCAACCAGGCAGCAUCCCCCCAUCAUUGUCUUGGUAGCAGCAGUCUAUGACCUGAAGGGAUGGGGGUUGAAGGGGGUGGGAGAGAUAAUGUAAAGACACAAGGAGGGUUGAAGGACAGUUUUGUAAUGAUUUAUGAGUCUAACCUAAGAAAAAACCUUGCAGAUCCUUCACUGAAAUACUGUGGUGUCAUGUUCAUAAGAAAAACAGAUAAGCACGCUGAUGGUGAUUAAUCUCAGAGUACAUAUAUUUUUCUGACUUCCACCAUUUGUUGCCAGAGUGUAGUAAUAAAAAAUGUGAAAACUUAAAGUUUGUUUGUCCCAAUGCAAAAGCAUCAAAAGGCUGAGCAUUUCGCUUGUAGUUUUCUCAUUUCAGUCAACAUUUCUUAUUUGAUAGAGGUGGGUUGAGCACCCAGAAAAUGUACUCAAGUAAGAGUAGCUCUACUUAAUUUUUAUUCCAGUAAAAAUAAAAAGAAGCGGUCCAAGAAAGGCUGUUUGUGUUUUCCUUUUCCCUACCCCUUCUUUUGUUUGUUUCUUCACAGGUAGUAGGAAAGCUGGUGUCAGUCUCCCCUGAUUGAUCCUCUCCAUUCAUGGGCCAAUCAGUAUCCAGGGAGCCUGAAUAUAUAAACAGCCCACCUAGGUAACUGAGAGCUGCUCUAUCUGACUGGCUAGCUGACACAUGUCUUGUUGGUGCUCUUUGUGUAAAGGUUUGUGGUGGGAGUUAGAGGACUAGGUAAGUUUGGGGUAACCUGUACAUUUCAGUCACGUAGGUGUUUUUCUGUUAGAAACACUAGGUAAGUAGGUGGGUGCCACCCAUGUAAAGUUUUGGUGAAACUUUUGUUAGAUCAGGUAAGCAGGGUUUUUGUUUUCUAUUUCUUUUCUUUAGCAUAGACGGUAGUUAGGCCCUGUUUUAUUAUUUUCUUUGAUUUGGCACCACCUAACUGUCCCUUUCUCCCCCACAGUUUGUAUGAGCCUUCUGGGAUUUUUGUGUAAAUAAAUCCCUCGGUUUUUUUUUUUUUUUAUCACAUUCACUUGGACUCUGUCAAAUUUUUGUGAUUGUCGUGUUACUCUCCUUCUCCUCACAAGGGGGGGGCCAUAACACAAGUGGGGGCUUGUCGGGGAUCACCAUUUUCCCUGAGCUGUAGACAUCCACAAUAAUUUGAAAGAUCAUUGUGUCCGUUUAGAAAUGAGCUUCAGCUUAGAGGAGUUCGUACAGGUUCCUAGCCAUGAACAGCUGGAAAUGUGUCGUAAGGACGACUUAUGUCUGGCUGAACACUAUGACAUUCCAGUGAUUUUUUUUUUUUUUCAAAAGCUGAAAUUAAAAACAUUGUUGUUCAAAAACUGGUUGAGAUUAAAGUCCUGGUUGACUCGAGCAAAAUUGAUGUGUAUGUUUGUGGUGAUCCUUCUGUUGAUCUAGGACUCCCUCCUUUUAAAGAUGAAGGAGCUGCUGUAAUGGCAACUCCCCCAUAGGGGUUGGCAGAACUGCAGGCGCCCCCUGCGACUUUACCACAGUUCAAUUCUAUGUCACCAGAGCUCAGUGACUCCAGUGAUAAUGGCUGGCUCGCCUACAGUUGGAGGCACAGGAGAGGGAGUUGGUGGUGCCAGAUAAAAACAAGUUUGAUGUCAGGAAGAAUAUUGCUUUGGUGCCUAGCCACAGAUUGCACACCCUUGGUAUAGUCAAUGGAUGGAUGAUGAGCAGCUAAAUUUAGUCUGAUUUGUACACUACAAAUAAAUCUCCAGAAGCUUGUCUACAUUGGUUUACUGCAAACCUGUAUUUCCAAUCCUAAAUCCCAGUUCAUUUUAUUAAUUAGAACACUCAAAAAAACAGGCCAAGAGACCGUUUGGACCAGAGUCUGCUUUCUCAUGCACAUCAUUCAUUAAAAAACCUUCUUCACAUGCACAAAAGUUUGCUUUUUAUCCUUUAAAUCAGUUUUACAAUCUUUCAACUAUGAAAUGGAUCAGCU